GAUGAACGCUGGCGGCGUGCCUAAUACAUGCAAGUCGAGCGAACAGACGAGAGUUCUUGCACUCUCUGCCGUUAGCGGCGGACGGGUGAGUAACACGUGACCAACCUACCUAUAAGACUGGGACAACUUCGGGAAACCGGAGCUCAUACCGGGUAAUAUUUAGCUUCGCAUGAAGCAUUAGUGAAAGACGGUUCUGCUGUCACUUCUAGAUGUACCCGCGGGGUAUUAGCUAGUUGGCGAGGUAACGCCUCACCAAGGCAACGAUACAUAGCCGACCUCAGAGGGUGAUAGGCGACACUGGAGCUGAGACGCGGCCCAUAGGCCUAAGGGAGGCAGCAGUAGGGAAUGUUACGCAGUGGACGAAAGUCUGACGGAGUAAGGCCGCGUGAGUGAAGAAGGUUUUCGGAUCGUAAAACUCUGUUGUAAGGGAAGAACAAGUACGUUAGUAACUGAACGUACCUUGACGGUACCUUAACAGAAAGCCACGGCUAACUACGUG
rnacentral:rRNA from 1 species